GGGCGGGUGGAAGGAGUAAAAAGAUUUCACAACUUUCCCAUAAACCAUUGUGUGCACAUCACCUACUUCAGAGUUGAAUAGAAUCUUGACUCUUGUUCUAGAUCUAGACCUACCCAUUCUCAUCAGUCUAACCCAGGGACCUGCCCCCAAAUGGGAGGAUCCAUAAUUCAGGGAAAGCAGGCCUCUAGCAGGCCGGUACUGAAGAAUGAAGGGUGAGCAAAGGUCUCAGUGACACCUUUCAAACGUUUUUGUCAGCUACUCACCUGCAUUUAAUGUGCACCACUUUCCUUGUAACCCCUCUGCUCCCUUAUCUACCAACACUUUUUCCUAAUUGUUCCAUUUUUAUUUUUAAUGAUUUGAGAGAGGAGAGACAGAAUGAGAGAAAGAUCCAUUUGUUUCACUUAUUUACACAUUCAUUGGUUGAUUCAUGUGUGUGCUCUGACAGGCUUGAAAACGCAACCUUGGUGUACCGGGAUGAUGCUCUAAACAACUGAGCUACCUCCAUGGCCUAAUUGUUGCAUGUUUCUAAAGACACUGCAGCCUGACACAGCCCCUUUGCCUUCAUCAUUGGUGUUCUUAAAACCUAACUAGGUCCUUAAGAACAGGAAGUUAACAUCUUUCUAUGGGCAACCAAUUCCCUGUAGGUUUGCUAACAUUACUGGUUCUGAUGGAAAGUUCCCUGUGAGAUUUGUGAGGAGAACCUGCCCUUUCCUGGGGUUCCUACUCUCUGGGCAUUCUCAGCCCUGGAGCAAGGGUUUCCCUUUCCUUUGGAAGCACUGAGCUGAAUAUGCAAAUUGCCAUGUGAUUUUGCGGAAGGAAGACAGACAGGUCACAAA